GUUCCAUGCUCCUGUGUCCUCCACUUCUCAGCCUUGGCCUGGCAUUCUGUGGGCUUCAACUGCAGCAAUAUGGGAGCACUUACACUGUUAGCUCAAACCAGCACUGGCACCUCCUGCCUCGGUCACCAACAGCCCAGACAAUCAACUCAAGCUCUCCCAGCCUCGAUUUCCCAGCGUGUAGGAGCCAAUGCACAACACAAGAUCAGCGCUCAAGACAAGACACCACCUUCUCCCUCUCUCCAUCGGUCCGGUUGGGCUUCCUUCCUCCCACAAAGGGCUCCUCCUCCCAUCAAUCACCUCUCCUAGCCUGCAGGACCUAUUAGGGCCACAGACAUGCCCUACCCCACCUCUGAGUGUCAGCCCCUACUGCCUUUCCUUGACAGGUGUCUACAAAGGGCAGCGCUCACAGCUGGAGCCAAUCAGUCGCAUGGCUGCCAGGCUCUGACCUACUUCCCAGUCAGAAUGAAGCAGAUGAUGCUGCUACUGAUUCAGCAAAGUCUUUUCUCCCUCUGCAAGCCGUCUCAGACAUGGGACACAAUGCAGAGUCUUGGAGUCAGGAACCUCAGAGCACAAGGGUCUACAAAGACUGGCCCAUCAGACAUAACCCUCUUAUUGUAUCAAUGUGGAGUCUGUGCUUCCUAGAGAACAGCAAAGUUUCCAGCAAAAAUCUACCCCAAAUUCCCCAAGCAUCAGGAGCAACAGCCUGGCCCCAAUUAAAUCCCAAGAAAGAGGCUUCCUAGCACCUUCCCUCAUCAGAGAAACUGUUCCCUGUAUUUUAGACUUUAAACACUUCCUCAUUCCACUCCAGGCAAAUGUUUUUUCUCCAUUAUUAAAUGUACCACGUCUCAAUAUGAUGAAAAAUUUCUCUAAUUUCUAUCCUCAUAAUGUAAU
rnacentral:lncRNA from 1 species